AACCCUCAAAGAUCCUUUUUGGACUUACUGAAAAGGAUUUUUGGACUUGGAGGUUUAAUGCUUGCCUUUCACCUUUGAAGGUGAGCUCCUCUCAAAUGAAUUAGCGGGGUCUGCUUUGCUCGAUCCUUGACGUGAUAAGAUGUUUCUACGUUUUGAAUUUUGGCACUGUUCCUUAGACACCUGCUUCUAACUGUCUCACAGACAAUGGAUGGUGCUUCGGUCCCUACUGCCUAACGUCGGUGGGAGGCUGGACCCACGAAUGAAAA
rnacentral:misc_RNA from 1 species